UGGGGAAUAUUGCACAAUGGGGGAAACCCUGAUGCAGCGACGCCGCGUGAGCGAAGAAGGUUUUCGAAUCGUAAAGCUCUGUCCUAUGAGAAGAUAAUGACGGUAUCAUAGGAGGAAGCCCCGGCUAAAUACGUGCCAGCAGCCGCGGUAAUACGUAUGGGGCGAGCGUUGUCCGGAAUUAUUGGGCGUAAAGGGUACGUAGGCGGUCUAUUAAGUCAGGUGUGAAAGCGUGAGGCUUAACCUCAUUAAGCACUUGAAACUGAUAGACUUGAGUGAAGGAGAGGAAAGUGGAAUUCCUAGUGUAGCGGUGAAAUGCGUAGAUAUUAGGAGGAACACCGGUGGCGAAAGCGGCUCUCUGGUCUGUAACUGACGCUGAGGCUCGAAAGCGUGGGGAGCGAACAGG
rnacentral:rRNA from 1 species